rnacentral:rRNA from 1 species
AGAAAUCGUUAAGGGCGUAUGGCGGAUGCCUAGGCUUUCAGAGGCGAAGAAGGACGUGGUAAGCUGCGAAAAGCUACGGGGAUUGGCACACACGAAAUGAUCCGUAGAUAUCCGAAUGGGGCAACCCAGUAAGUUGAAGACUUACUACACCGUAAGGUGAGCGAACCCGGAGAACUGAAACAUCUAAGUACCCGGAGGAAAAGAAAUCGAAGAGAUUCCGUAAGUAGUGGCGAGCGAAAGCGGAUUAGCCCAAAAGUUUAUAUAUGUUUAGUGGAAUGUUUUGGAAAGAGCAAUCAAAGAAGGUGAAAAUCCUGUACACGAAAGGCAUAUAUAGAUGAAGAAAACACGUGAAAUCCUGUCUGAAUAUGGGGGGACCAUCCUCCAAGGCUAAAUACUCCUGAAAGACCGAUAGUGAACAAGUACUGUGAAGGAAAGGUGAAAAGCACUUCGAAUAGAAGGGUGAAAGAGAACCUGAAACCGUACGCCUACAAGCGGUCGGAGCAGUUAUAUACUGUGACGGCGUGCCUUUUGCAUAAUGAGCCUACGAGUUAAUUUUACUAGCGAGGUUAAGGUAUUAAGUACUGGAGCCGGAGCGAAAGCGAGUCUGAAUAGGGCGAAUAGUUAGUGGGAUUAGACGCGAAACCUUGUGAUCUACCCAUGGGCAGGUUGAAGCACUGGUAACACAGUGUGGAGGACCGAACCGGUUGACGUUGAAAAGUCUUCGGAUGACCUGUGGGUAGGGGUGAAAGGCCAAUCAAACUGGGAGAUAGCUCGUACUCCCCGAAAUGCAUUUAGGUGCAGCGUUGAUUUAGUUUAUUAGAGGUAGAGCUACUGAUUGGAUGCGGGGGUUUCACCGCCUACCAAUUCCUGACAAACUCCGAAUGCUAAUAAAUAAUGAUCAGCAGUGAGGGCAUGGGUGCUAAGGUCCAUGUCCGAGAGGGAAAGAACCCAGACCAACAGCUAAGGUCCCUAAAUAUAUGCUAAGUUGAAACAACGCGGUUGAACUGCAUUUGGCUUGGAAGCAGCCAUUCAUUUAAAGAGUGCGUAACAGCUCACUAGUCGAGCGGUUCGGCAUGGAUAAUAAUCGGGCAUAAGCAUAUUACCGAAGCUAUGGCAACGAAAGUUGGGUAGGGGAGCAUUCUAUCGGCGCAGAAGCAUCACUGUGAGGUGUUGUGGAGCUUAUAGAAAAGAAAAUGUAGGCAUAAGUAACGAUAAAGCAGGCGAGAAACCUGCUCACCGAAAGACUAAGGGUUCCUCAGCCAUGCUAAUCAGCUGAGGGUUAGUCGGGACCUAACGCGAACCCGAGAGGGGAAGUGGAUGGACAAUGGGUUAAUAUUCCCAUACUUGCUCACGAAUAAAGGGGACGGUUCAGCCAGACUACUGGAGACUGACGGAAUAGUCAAGACCUAGCCUACGGGCGAAGUUGUUGUAGAGUAACUGGAUCCAAGAAAAGCCGAAGUGAAGCAACCCGUACCAUAAACCGACACAGGUAGUCGAGGAGAGAAUCCUAAGGUGCUCGAGUGAGUCGUGGCUAAGGAACUAGGCAAAAUAGUCUCGUAACUUCGGAAUAAGAGACGCCAACAGCGAUGUUGGCCGCAGUGAAGAGGCCCAGGCGACUGUUUAUCAAAAACACAGGACUCUGCUAAAUCGAAAGAUGCUGUAUAGGGUCUGACACCUGCCCGGUGCUGGAAGGUUAAGGAAGGUGCUUAGCGUAAGCGAAGGCAUUGACGAAAUUCCUUGUCGGGUAAGUUCCGACCUGCACGAAUGGUGUAACGAUCUGGGCACUGUCUCAGCCACGAGCUCGGUGAAAUUGUAGUAUCGGUGAAGAUGCCGAUUACCCGCAAUGGGACGAAAAGACCCUGUGAACCUUUACUAUAACUUCGUAUUGACUUUGAGUAAGUAAUGUGUAGGAUAGGUGGGAGGCUAUGAAGCUGGCACGCUAGUGUUGGUGGAGCCGUUGUUGAAAUACCACCCUUUGCUUACUUGGAGCCUAACUUCUGAAUAAGAGUAAGAAGGACAUUGCGUGGUGGGUAGUUUGACUGGGGUGGUCGCCUCCAAAAGAGUAACGGAGGCUUUCAAAGGUACCCUCAGCACGCUUGGUAACCGUGCGUAGAGUGUAAUGGCAUAAGGGUGCUUGACUGUGAGACCAACAAGUCGAUCAGGUGCGAAAGCAGGACAUAGUGAUCCGGUGGUUCCGUAUGGAAGGGCCAUCGCUCAUAGGAUAAAAGGUACUCCGGGGAUAACAGGCUAGUCUCCCCCAAGAGCUCACAUCGACGGGGAGGUUAGUGGCACGCGAGCUGGGUUCAGAACGUCGUGAGACAGUUCGGUCUCUAUCUAUUGCGGGCGUUAGAUAUUUGCGUGGGGUUGACUCUAGUACGAGAGGACCGAGUUGAACAAACCUCUGGUGUAUCAGUUGUACCGCCAGGUGCACCGCUGAGUAGCUAAGUUUGGAAGAGAUAAGCACUGAAAGCAUAUAAGUGCGAAACUCGCCACAAGAUGAGAUAUCUUUUAAGGGUCGUGGGAGAUGACCACGUUGAUAGGUUACAGGUGUAAAGGUGGUAACAUCAUAGCCGAGUAAUACUAAUUACCCGUAGAUUUAUGGC